AGACGGUUAAAAAAGAAAAAAAUGGAGGGUAGACCAAGAAGCCCUACAUAAAUCUUUUUUAUAAAUUCAUAGAUUUUUAAUGAAUUUGAAAUAAAUUUUCCAUAAAUCUUUUUAAAUAAAAUUCAUUGCAUUUAUAAUCUCCUCUUUAUCUAUGCUACAUCCUAUGAUCAUGCAUUUUUGCUUGUUUAGUAGCUGUCUCAGUCUGGACCUCUAAUCUGCACAGGACUUUAUAUCAGGGGUUCAGAAUUUUUGCCCCUACAUAGGGAACAUUAAAGCAGAUACCAAUUAGUGCAAACCCCAUUUUUG
rnacentral:lncRNA from 1 species